rnacentral:rRNA from 1 species
UGGGGAAUAUUGCACAAUGGGCGCAAGCCUGAUGCAGCCAUGCCGCGUGUAUGAAUAAUGCCUUCGGGUUGUAAAGUACUUUCAGUCGGGAGGAAGGUGUCAAGGUUAAUAACCUUGGCAAUUGACGUUACCGACAGAAGAAGCACCGGCUAACUCCGUGCCAGCAGCCGCGGUAAUACGGAGGGUGCAAGCGUUAAUCGGAAUUACUGGGCGUAAAGCGCACGCAGGCGGUUGAUUGAGUCAGAUGUGAAAUCCCCGGGCUUAACCCGGGAAUUGCAUCUGAUACUGGUCAGCUAGAGUCUUGUAGAGGGGGGUAGAAUUCCAUGUGUAGCGGUGAAAUGCGUAGAGAUGUGGAGGAAUACCGGUGGCGAAGGCGGCCCCCUGGACAAAGACUGACGCUCAGGUGCGAAAGCGUGGGGAGCAAACAGG